UUCGACCUGUCUCGUAAGUGGAAUUUCAAAUUCAAGCUGAGGGCAAAUUAGUCAAUUUUUAUACAGCCCUGCAUACGUGUAAAAUACCCUGCACUUAGAGGCCACAUACACCUCCACUAAUCUUCUACGGUUUCUAGACCUAUCACUUAUCACUUUUUUGUUUUCCUGUUACUUCUCCUCUGUUUGAUCAUCAUUCUUGCUUCCUUUCGCUUAGCUUUUCUUCUUUAUCCCUUUGAUUAUCUUGGUGUGGUAUCUCCAUAAGUUAGAAGAAUCAAGUUAGAUUUCUGAGAAAUCUUUGAGACGUGAAGUUGGGUUUUAGCCGGUUACUUUCAAGUUCGAUUUUUUGCUCUAUUCAAGCUGAGAAUAGGAAAAACAAACUAAAGAGUUUGGCGCUUACAAGACAUUGUUCAAUGAUGGUACAAGGCUUGAGAACGAAAUAAGAAAUAAGAGAUGUAAAGUCUUUCAGUUGAGUGAUUUGUGAGAUGCCACCAGCGAACCCCAAAGCACUCCAGGUAAGGCUGGUGGUCAUUUUGUUCGUUAUCUUAGAGUCAGUUCAGCAACUUAGCAAGCAGUUUUAAUCCUACAAAUUUCUAGAUGUGCUAUUUCUGUCCAUCAUGUUUAUGAAAUACUAUUUACAAGUAUUCUUGGAUAAAUGUUGAAAUAUAUUAUUCAAGAAUCAAGAUGCAGACCUUGAUAGCAAUAUUGUAGAUUUGGUAGAACUCUUGCCAAUUAGAUGCUAAAUAGUUGAAAGAAUGAAGAAAUAAUUUAGGACUAUUUAACCUCAUAUGUCGCUACACUGUGAUAGAAAAUUAAAACAUCACGUGAUAAUAGCUAAAGUUUCACACUGCGUUUACGUUGUAACAAAGGCUGCAGAAAUAGUAAUAGCAAAUUCUCUACAUUGACAUCUUAAGCCACAAUUGAUGUCACAAAAUUUAGACUACUCUAUUAUGGUUCAAAUCUUUCAAACUUUAUAAAUAUUUUUGCACCAUUGAUAUAAAAUUAUCUUGCUCAUCGCAAAGCCCAGAUUGAUACUAAUUUAAUGUAUUUGUCAGGCUGUUACAUUUAGCUAUUGCUAGCAGUGGAAGCAGUUUGACUAUUGUGAUCAAUUCUACUGUAGAGACCAUGGUUCUUGACAAUAUUAUGAACUAUGAGUAUGGAAUAUGGGAGCAACUUGGAUUGCGUAAAAAAAGGUUUGUCAGCCUUUUCCCUUUAUGAAUUAGUGUAUUGGAGAGGGUAUAGGAUAGUUUUAACUUUACCUUCACUUCUUACUGUAAGAACUUGAGAUAGCAAUAACGACAUGGAUUAUGUUAAAACUUUUUUCUCCUCUUGUAUUUCAUUUUUUUUUCCUUUCUGGUGUUCAAUCUUUUUGCCGCGUUAAAUCAGAUUUUAAGUGCAAGAGUCGUAGCACAUAAGCCCUAUCUUAGAACAAGUGAUAGAAUUAUUAUCAUCAUCUCUGGACAUACAUAUGAAACACAAGCAGCUCAAAAUCUAUAAUCAAGUAAAUUGCUAUUUUUGUUUAAUCA